rnacentral:rRNA from 1 species
AUUGAACGCUGGCGGUAUGCUUAACACAUGCAAGUCGAACGGUAGGUACGUCGGUACUGAGAGUGGCGGACGGGUGAGUAACGCGGAGGAAUCUGCCCUGUAGUGGGGGACAACGUGGGGGAACCCACGCUAAUACCGCAUACGCCCCACGGGGGAAAGCGGGGGACCGUAAGGCCUCGCGCUAGAGGCUGAGCCGGCGGUGGAUUAGCUAGUUGGUAGGGUAAAGGCCUACCAAGGCGACGAUCCAUAGCUGGUCUGACAGGACGAUCAGCCACCCUGGGACUGAGAGACGGCCCAGACUCCUACGGGAGGCAGCAGUGGGGAAUAUUGGACAAUGGGCGCAAGCCUGAUCCAGCAAUACCGCGUGUGUGAAGAAGGCCUGAGGGUUGUAAAGCACUUUCAAUGGGGAGGAAAAAGCACGGGCGAAUACCCUGUUCCUUGACAUUACCCAUACAAGAAGCACCGGCUAACUCCGUGCCAGCAGCCGCCGUAAUAC